rnacentral:rRNA from 1 species
GGGAAACUCACCAGGUCCAGACAUAACUAGGAUUGACAGAUUGAUAGCUCUUUCUUGAUUUUAUGGGUGGUGGUGCAUGGCCGUUCUUAGUUGGUGGAGUGAUUUGUCUGGUUAAUUCCGAUAACGAACGAGACCUUAACCUGCUAAAUAGACAGGCCGGCUUUUGCUGGUCGCCGUCUUCUUAGAGGGACUGUCAGCGUCUAGCUGACGGAAGUUUGAGGCAAUAA